rnacentral:rRNA from 1 species
AAAUGAAUUGACGGGGACCCGCACAAGCAGCGGAGCAUGUGGUUUAAUUCGAAGCAACGCGAAGAACCUUACCAAGACUUGACAUCGCAAGACAGGGGAGUAAUUUCCCUCUUCCCUUCGGGGACUUGUAGACAGGUGGUGCAUGGUUGUCGUCAGCUCGUGUCGUGAGAUGUUGGGUUAAGUCCCGCAACGAGCGCAACCCUUAUGACUAGUUGCCAAUAUUUAGUUAGGAACUCUAGUCAGACUGCCGUGGAUAACACGGAGGAAGGUGGGGAUGACGUCAAAUCAUCAUGCCCCUUACGUCUUGGGCUACACACGUGCUACAAUGGCUAUUACAAAGAGCUGCAAGCCGGCAACGGCAAGCGAAUCUCAGAAAGAUAGUCUCAGUUCGGAUUGUGGGCUGCAACUCGCCCACAUGAAGUCGGAGUUGCUAGUAAUCCCGAAUCAGAAUGUCGGGGUGAAUGCGUUCCCGGGUCUUGUACACACCGCCCGU